CUCCUAGGAAGUCUUCAAAGUUAGGAGAGGGAUUUCCUAGUCUACACAUUCAUCAGUCACUGUACUAUAGAUUCUCCUCCACUGCCCUCUUAAAUACUGUAUCUAAAACAAAAUGCUAGCGUAAGAGGGACCCUACUAACACCCUAAUCUACACAAAACAAGCUCAGCUGCAGCGAAUUCAUUGUACUCUCAAAUCCCAAAUUUGUUGCCAAUAUUUUAAUUAGAUAAUCACCUUGGGUUAAGUCAAAUCUUAAAUUACCAAGUAGUACCAGUAGUUAAACUUAAUCAGCAAUUCUAGCCAAACUAUUCUCUCAGUUUGCGGCUGGCUUUAUUUUCUGCUCAGUAGGAUAAGUUCCAAUAUGGUACAAGACUCUUCACAAACAGGACGGAUGGCCUCCUCACAGAAAAUCUAAAUCUCUAAAUGAAUAAGAUUAGACUAUUCCUAGUAUAGAAGCAAAGAGAGAACACCUCCAUCCAAUUAUUUUCUGUGUAGCUAGGAGUAUCUUUGAGUGCCACAUUACUCCAGGGAAGCUUGUCUUCCAUUGCCAACUACAAUUUGAAGGCCUAGCAAUGUUGGCAAUAUCUUGCCUUUAUAUCUAUUCAAGGACCAAAACUGUGUCUUUGCUUCUACCACAUUUUUUUGGAAACUCAUCUUCCACUGAGACAUUCUGUUUCUAAGUGUAUACAAUCAGGAGAUUUGCCUUUGGGGGUUGCCAGAUCCCUUCCUAUCUCCUUGCUGCUGGCAUCUCAUAUGGCCUUGUCAUGAGGCACACUGUCUGCAGUCUUCUGCAGUCCAGCCAGACAGUUCCCGUCACUGUAAGUACUUCCUCUGUCAGAGCAGACACACUAACUGAAGCCACAGCCGGAAGCAGGCUGACCACAAGCUCUAGGGUUCUGCUUAGUUCUUUUCUAGGUAAAGUUGGAAAAGUCCCUGCAAAGGCAAACACUGGAGUUUUAGAAAUGGGGGAGGCACUGACUAGCCUCUUCAAAUGUUCUUGCCUGGAAAGAGGUUGUUGAAGAGGUUGUUCCAAGAAAGACUCCUGAACAUCCAUCACCUCCUCAGAGAAAGACUGCUCAGGUGGAAAAAUGGAGAUGCUGAAGAGAGAGGGUCCAUGAAGGUGAAAACUCAGUCUUGUCCACUGAGCAGUAAGCAUGUCUACUUCCUCAGAGGUGAAGGUGGUGGAGACCUCUCUCCUCCAGGCUGCAGCUGCCUCCCAGGGCAUGGGCGUGGGCAUGUGCCCAGCUCCAUUACAGGUUUGUCUCUGCUGUGGCUUUCGGGCAUGAUUUUGCACACAGAAGUCAGACAAGGAAAAGGGGUCUGGCUUCUGACUCCGCUUUUAAUUUGUUCCAAGAUGUUGACCAAGCCAUCUAACCUCUCUGGACCUCCAGUUCCUCAUCUGUAAAGAAUUUCUGAAGCCAUACCAAACCUUACAACCACUGGCUCGACAUAAACAUCUAGUAAGGAGGAAAAGAACAGGAGUAACUGAAGUGGCCGUUCCAGAGGCAGAGUGGCACAGCCAGGCCCAGGGGGUGGGGAGCUAUCAACUCAUUAUCCUCUGACCCUGUCCUAGAUGCUGCCACAGAUGACCGGAGGAGAAAAUGGUCAAGAGAAAGGGGGACUUAUAAGUCCUUGAAGUGAAACAAGGACAUGAGAGACUCAGAGUCAGUGAAGCUGCAUGAGAAAUGCUCAGUGGACCUUGCUGGCCUGGAGGAUGGAGGAUGGGCCAGGAGUCCAGGAUUUCAGUCAACCUUGAGAAGCACUUUCUGUCAACACCCUGCUUUUAGCCCAGUGAAAACCUUUUGAGACUUCUGACCUCCAGAAUUGAAUAUAUCCUGUGCAUUCACCUUGCCCCCCAAGCACUGCUGCCCCACAGCAUGGAACAGAAUGGAGUUUUGGAAGGACUUCAUUAAAGGCAGCUUUCCCCAAGGCUUCCCAGGACAUUAGUUUGAAGAAUUUUGUGAAGAGCUAAGGUUCAAAGCUAUACUUCUGAAGACUUCCAAAUCAGAAAUGAUGAACAUGUAUAAUCAAAGCCUUACUCUGUUCACAUAGUGGAAGGAAAAUGGGUGUGUCAGGAAGGAGGGAUGAUAGAGGGGCAGAAGGCAGGCAGGUCCGUGAAACCAGAACCACUUGGAGUGAGGGACAUUAGCACUGCCACUCUGAAGUGCAGGGAGGACUCUACCAAGGCAGCCUGGAGUCUGAUGAGUUCACAACUCAGCAGGCAUCAGCUCCUCUAAGAGGCCUCCCUGGCCCCUACACACUGUUCAGUUCCCCUCCUCUAAACCCACAAAGCCCCUGUGAUUAUAUCAUGAAGCACUCAGCACACUGCACCACAAUCCACUGUUGGCCCUUGUCAUGACUUGUAUCUAGAUGUCCCCCCAAAGCCUCAUGCCGUCACAAGUGAGGCUUUUUCAGAGGUGGCUGGAUCUAGAGUGUGUGAUGCUGGAACUGAUUCAUGGUGCAACACUAGCCUCAAGGGCACUAGGAUUAAGAGGGUGUGUGCCACCCUCCCUAAGCAGUCUGGAUAAGUUAAAAAGGGACAGAAAGACCCUGUUUGCUUUCGCUGUCUCCUGCUUGCCAUUAACUGUUUCUCCUCUGCAAUGCCCCUCUGCCAAGCCACCCUGCCUUAGAGCCAGCCAAAAAGAGAGGGAAACCUCUCUUUUCCCUCUUUAACUUUGGGUGUCAGGUAUUUUGUCUCAGCAAUGAGAGAAAAUUAACUAAGACAGCCCUAGUGGCUGCAGCCCUAGAUGCUCACCUCUGAUGGGUAAGGUCUGCCACCACCAGUGCCAGUUGCAGAGCAGAGAUUCACCUGAUGCACGUGACACAGACCUGCACAGACAUCCUCUCUACCUACUUUCCUUUUGGAGUCUAAGGUUGGUGGAGACCAGUGACACUGCACGGAAAUGGUACAGGGCACUAAUCACCAAGCUCAACCUAGAAACAACCCCCAACAACAGGGCCCACAAAGAUGGCAUAGAUGAACCACUUAGCCUUAGUUCUCUGAGAGUUCCUCACUCCCCUUCAGACAGCCUCCCUCAUGACUAAAGGGUGUAGCCUGUCAGGUGGAAGAAUAGAGGAGACCAGGGACAGUCAUCUUGAGACACAGAAAUAGCAGCUAAAGAGACAAUGAGCAGACUGUGGGGCUUUGAGGUGAGAGAGUUCUGCUCUGUCUGACUGAGCUGAGCAGUCUGAGCCCAUGGACCUGAGACUCAGGGUUCUCAGUGCUGAGAAGGAAAGAUGGAGUAAUUGACAAGGUAGCUGGCACCAGGAACCCAUGCUCUGAUGCUGACUAUGAUGUUAGUGGCCAAAACUGACUGGAAGCAAAGUAAAGAAAGGGCUCCAGACUGUAUGAAGGGCACUGCCACACAGCACUGGGGUCUGACAGUGGGGUUUGUGGGUAGUCAACUGAUGGCCAAUUAAUGACUGAGACGGUUUUUUAAAGUUCAGGCCAAGAAGGUGAUAUUGCAGAUUUCUUCCAGCUCUAUUUCAUUGUUCUGCCUUACUGUUUAACAAUGUAACUUCCAGCUUAGCUGAAAUCACACAGAUUCUGUGGCAAAUUUUAAGUAACAGCAAUAAAAUGUGGCAACAUCAAAUGGUCCAGCCACAGUUGUAGAGGGCCAUGAAGUCACCUGUUGCACAAAGUCAGGGACAUGGUGUAUAUAUAGGUAUACCUUCCCCUUGCCAGAUAUGGACUAGCAUAAUUUCCUUUUUGUACCAUCACCAUUCGAUCACAAAGAACUACCAGUGCCAAUGUCCUUGUUAGGAAGAAACACUCCAUCUUAUCAGAGAUGCCUGGGUGUACUUUCCCUGUUCAUCCUUCCACCACUCAGGCAGAGGGCUGGUUUCCCAAGGUUCAAGAGUCAGCAGCAAAACCAGGCAGAGGCCCAGGUCCCAGAGCUCCAGCAUGCUUCUCCCAGGCGGGGAUAGGCCUCCACAGAUCUAGGCCUAUCUUGUCUUUCCAGCUUUUGCUGCUGGAAACUUCACAAAAGAGAUAACAUGUCCCCUGUUGUAGCAUUUAGUCAUAGUAUGAUCAUCAAUCUCUGACUCAAGCCCCACUCCCUAAUCAUAUCCCCUAAUCAUAAGCAGUACUAAUAUAAAUAAUCUUUAGCAUCUAGGAUAUUCUAAGUGGCCGGGAAAUUACUGUUUUGAUCCCAAAACAACAAAAUGAACAAAAGAUUUCUGAAAUAAUCAACAAAGACUUCCGAAUACUUAGUUGUUUAACAUUUCUUGUUUGGUGCUAGGGAUUGAACCCAGGGCCUCAUGCAUGCUAGGCAAGCAAUCUACCACUGAGCUGUAUCCCUAGCCCUGAGUACUUAUUUGUGUAAAACAGCAGAAGGCAGGUGCUUCAUUCAGUCAUUCAACAAAUAUAGUCAUGUAUUACUUGAGGGUGGAAAUAUGUUCUAAGAAGUGUGUUGCUGGGUGAUUUUGUUGUGCAAAGAGCAUAUUUAUAAACCUUCAUGGUACAGCCUACCACACUUAGGCUAUAUGGCAUAUACUAUCAUAUAUGAAGUCUAUCACUGAUCAAACUGACAUUAUGCUGUGCAUGACUUUAGUAAUUAGAACUUUCUAUGUACCUGUUUUUUAAAAAUCUGAUGUAUUUAAUGUAUUUAAUAAAUACAUGUAAAUCUAAUGUAUUUAAUAAUCCAUCCAUCCACUUUCUACAUAAGCACCUGUAUGCCAAACAGUAGCAAGAUACAGGUAUAUGUAGGCACCUAUACACACUGAACAAAUACAUAUAAAGCCACCUGGUGAACGAGACUGUGAUCCUUGGUCCUGUGGAGUCACUAGGGAAGACAGGAACACAUCAACCAUCUAGAAUUUUGUGCCAGACAAUCAUACUGGAUCCUCAACUCAAGCAACCUGAUUAUAGUGAGAGGAGUUGAACUGUCAGAGGAAGCCAGGCCCCGGAGCGUCCC